ensembl:lncRNA
AUGCAGCAGGGAGGCCAGAAGACCAGAAACACACUGGAGGGACUAUAUUUAUCUCAGUGCUCCAGGAGCACCCAGGAUAAGCCAGAGAAGGAUGGGCUGUACUUUUCCAAACAUACCACCUCAACUGAAGACUGUGGAUCAUUCCAACAGAUGAGCUUUUGGGAACGGUUGAUCCACACACUUCCACGCUACGGCAGAGCUACAGACAGAAUGCAGAGAGAUGAGGGGAAAAUAUCUGAACAUUUACCAAUACUCACAUUUAGAUUCGUAGAGGCUUUAAGUGAAAAGCACAAGUUAAACUGAUCAGGUGAAAAACUGAAGUUAAAUUGACUCACUAUUUUCCAUAGACAAAGGUUCAACACUGGAUUACAAAGCUCUGAUUGGUAACAGAUAUUACAAUAUGUAUUUGUGCACAUGGUAUUGUGUCUUGGUUGAGUUACAUCAAUAAAUGUCAUCAAAAACUACUCAGACUAUGAGUUACUUUUCAACCGCUGAUGUUUAACGCUUUAACAAUAGCAGGCAUUCACUCCUGUCCAAAUCUGUGCCUGUCGCAGCAUCUGUUUUUUUUAAUGAUUUUCAUUGACCCGCAAAGUGCUGAAAAAGAACAGAUGCUGGUCGUCACAGGUCACAAGCCGGCCACAGAGCAAUUUAGAAAUGAACAAUGCCCGUCCAUCGCGUCAGACUGAGGUUUCGAAGAACUGAGUGAGAAUCCCAGAAUUUCACAGAAAGGAAACAAAGCCAAACACCUGUGUGUGAUCAGAAUUCCUUUAAGCUACUCUGUUUUUACCUUGAUUUAAGAGUUUAGAGUUUAAAUUGAAUUUGUGAGGCACAACACGCCAUUGGUGUUCUAUGACUUCUGUAUUUUAACUAGAUUGUGGACCCUGUGCAAUCUCAUGGGGAUGUUCAGCGGCCCCUUUAAGACUUGCACAUGUAGCAGGCUGGGCUUUGUCAACCAGCAGGUAUUAAUGAUCACCUGCACCAGGCCUGACCCACCGGGCCCAACCUGUAUCCUGGCCACACUCGGUGGGGGUGGGGGGGUUUAUUGCAUUAAAUGAUAGUGACAGCUGUAGAGUGACAGAAAAGGGGUUAGAGAGAGUGCAGCAAAGGGCCACAGUUGAACCCAUGUCUCCUGUAGUAAGGACUAAGCCUUUGUACGUGGGGCACCAGCUACCAAGGGCGCCCCUAGUUUGCAUUACUUUUAAUUCAAGUGUAGUUCCCCAAUUUUAGCAAUUUUGUGCACUUGGCAGGCACUGACCUGAAGCUGUAUAGGACACCAGGAAUGAUGGUGGUUUUCCAUUGAUAAUCUAAGCAGUUCUUUAUAUGGUUGUAUUUACUGUUUACUACAUUUCUUUUCAGUGUAUUGGUUGUUUAUUUAGAAGAUUUAUUUCUUUUUUUUAUUAGUAUUGUUUUGUUGACAAAUGUUUCCGUUUGUAUUCUUAGAUUUAUUAAUUAAGCACUAAUAUAUCCCUUGUGUUCCCCGCACACACUGCAAAAAAGGAAUUUUAAGAAAGUAAAAAAGCCUUGUAUCAAGGAAAUAAGUCUUAUUUUUUGUCCAAAAAGGAAAUUAAUCUUGUCAAGCAUGUUUCGCAUUGGAAAAAUAAUCUAAUUUUAAGAAAGUACGGCUAACUUUUUCUUAAUAAGAUAUUCCAGCUACUUUUGAGCUAGAAUGAAAUAUAAAAAUGUUUUACAAUAAAACCCAGUGGAGCAACAAGAUUAUUUGCCUCAUUUUAAGAGUAAGACCACUUGUACAACUUCUCAAUUUAAGAGUGCCAAGAAACAAAAAAAUUAAAGGUUGUUUAUUUUCAUUUGUUAUGUGUUCUCAGGCCAUCUGAACCUGGUAGAACCUGCUGCUUCAUAUCUUACAUAUUAAGAUGACAGCAGGCUGGCAAAUAACCAUGCUGGACAAAAACAGCAUGGCCCAUAAACAAAACAAAAUGACCAAAAAUGACCAAAAUGAAAUGACCCUUGACUCAACUGCAUUCUCAAUCACAAUGUAGCAAUGACUAUGGUUUAUACAGUAGGAUCCUGCAAGCAUCAGCAUAAAGACUGCUAUUAAUUAAUUGAUUGCUGAUCUGCUGUUUUAUCAUUCAGAUUAAAGUUAUUUUGAUACAUGAAAAGAUAGAAACAAUCAUGAAACAAACAACAGUCAAGAAACAGUUUGUCAUGAGAGGCCAACACAUUAAACAGUGUGCCUUUUACAGGUCAUCAGAUGAGGCUCUGUGUAGCCCAAGCACAUCUCCCAGAUAAUAUUUCGUAGGAACAUAUGUCACAUCCUUGUGAGUAUAACUGUAAUAUGGAGUGAAAUCUACCAGACUAUCAGCCGUUAUUAUUUCAUUUGCUUGUGCCAUGUUUGGAAUCUCUAUUGUAUAUGCCAUGUAAUUUCUAUUAUAACAAACAGUAUUAUGCUGCUGGAACUCAAAACAAUAUAAUGAUGAGUUAAUUACAUAGAUAUUGCUCACAUGUUCAAAUUCAGGUAAAUCACUGGCAUUAACGGCAGUCACAAACGUCUUCUCCCGUAUAUAUUUAUUACCAUUUAGAUUAAUCCAUUUAACAGACACUGCAUUGUUUAUGUCAUCAUUUCCAAGGAAAGCCCUCAUUUUUUCUUUUAAAUAUGACAUGCUGCAUAUUUCUGAUGUUGGUCCCAAUGCACACUCAUUAAAUAAAGAAUGACUUACAUUUUGACAACAUUCAUACAUUUGAUUAUGCCUUAUUAAAGACUUGCAAACAUUUCUAAGAUUUAAUUUUGAGGCCCACUGUUUGAAAAAACUAUGUUUUGAUUCCACCUGUUUUUAGCCUACAUUAGCUCGCUGCCAUUUACCGCUUUUGCCUCUUUUGCCUUGAACCCAAGAUGACCAGGUGAUACAUCAUGUGAUACCAAGGGUCGUAUAAAUCCGUGCCUUAUAAGGACAGAAACGACCUUCUAUUUAUUAAUGAUCACGUAGAUGUGACUUGAUUUUAACAGUUAUAAAGUAAUAUGAACUUAUUUAGAUAAAUAUACUUUGUAUAAAUGCAAAAUAAACGUAUUUAGGCUAAGCGUCCACCCCCGCUCCCUCUGUGCAGAUGGUACAAUCCACCGCUCUUUUUUUCCCUCCUGAAGUCCGUUGCAUUUUGAAAAUAAGUGCGUGCACACGUUGGUGGCGUUCCGCUGCUGUGAAUUCGUCAUUUUAAAGUGUCCUAUGUGGAUAUCAGUGGACACGAAAUAUGGAUAAACUGGACAAUGUUUCAAUUGCCCCACUCAAAGCUAUGCUACCAGGGUUUCUUUAUGUCGUGCUGAUUUAUAUUAGCUAACGUAGCUAACGGGCUGUGACAUAAAAACGAGCUAGUCCUUGGUCGGGCUUGGUGCAUGAUGAUCCCAAUAUAAUAAUAUGUGAAGUCUAAUUGGGCUUUGGGACUUUUGUUUUAUUUUCUUAUUAUUAAGGGCUGUAAAUGCUGAAAAUACAGUAACACCUGGUGGUUUGUAAAACAGCAGCUGUUAAGAUAUUGGUCUAAAGCACAUCACUCUGAUUUUGAUUGUGUUUGUCUCAUAUGUACAUCAGUCCGAGCCCCCUGAGUGCUAUCUAUUAAAUCUGUAACAUGUUUGUUUAAAAGUGCUAUAGCAAAUACAGCAUAUGUAUAAUGUAUUUAAGUAAAAUUAAAAAACAAUAGGCAUUCUCUAUCAAGCAUUAAAGUAAAAUGUGAAUGCAUAUUAUCUAGCAAGGCUCCAUACUCACUCUUACUGUAGUUGCAUGGCUUGAAUAUAGAUAUAUCUAAUUUAUAAAUGCUGUCAAAUUCACUCACUGCUCUUGAAGUAGAAUGGUAGUGUGUAGCAAGACUGAGCAAACUGUUCAAACAAUGCUAACUGUACAAGAGGUGUCAGGGUGUUGAGUUGGCAAAAUAUCCUCAUCUGCUAUGUUCAAAUCCAAUGUCCAUAUACAUAAUAUUUCAUUAUUUUAGACAUUUCUGCUUUGAGUCCCUUUCAACAGUCCAACUUGCUUUUUUCAAGUUUUUUUUUAAUCCACUAAAAGAUAAUGUUUUUCAAAAAUAUAGUUU